UUUUUAUUGCUUUACCUUUAUCUACUUUACUUUCCCGCACUGUCUUUACUUUAUUUAUUUCCCGCACUGUCUUUCUUUUAUUUAUUUUCCGCACUCGCACUACUUUUAUUUAUUUCUCGCACUCGCACUACUUUUAUUUAUUUUCCGCACUCGCACUACUUUUAUUUAUUUUCCGCACUCGCACUACUUUUAUUUAUUUCUCGCACUCACACUACUUUUA
rnacentral:lncRNA from 1 species